GAUGAACGCUGGCGGCGUGCCUAAUACAUGCAAGUCGAGCGAACGGACGCGAAGCUUGUUUCUCUGAUGUUAGCGGCGGACGGGUGAGUAACACGUGGAUCAUCUACCUAUAAGACUGGGAUAACUUCGGGAAACCGGAGCUAAUACCGGAUGAUAUUUUGAACCGCAUGGUUCAAAAGUGAAAGACGGUCUUGCUGUCACUUCUAGAUGGAUCCGCGCUGCAUUAGCUAGUUGGUAAGGUAACGGCUUACCAAGGCAACGAUGCAUAGCCGACCUGAGAGGGUGGUCGGCCACACUGGAACUGAGACACGGUCCAGACUCCUACGGGAGGCAGCAGUAGGGAAUCUUCCGCAAUGGGCGAAAGCCUGACGGAGCAACGCCGCGUGAGUGAUGAAGGUCUUCGGAUCGUAAAACUCUGUUAUUAGGGAAGAACAUAUGUGUAAGUAACUGUGCACAGCUUGACGGUACCUAAUCAGAAAGCCACGGCUAACUACGUG
rnacentral:rRNA from 1 species